UUGGAGGGCAAGUCUGGUGCCAGCAGCCGCGGUAAUUCCAGCUCCAAUAGCGUAUAUUAAAGUUGUUGCAGUUAAAAAGCUCGUAGUUGAAUUUCGGAAUCAAUGGGUUGGUCAUGCCCUCGGUAUGUACUGAUUUCAUUGGUUCUCACCUUCUAAGGAACCAUGAUGUCAUUUGUUUGAUGUUGUGGGAAAUUAGGACUGUUACCUUGAAAAAAUUAGAGUGUUUAAAGCAGGCUAACGCUUGAAUACAUUAGCAUGGAAUAAUGAAAUAGGACAUCCGAUUCUAUUUUGUUGGUUUCUAGGAUCGAUGUAAUGAUUAAUAGGGAUAGUUGGGGGCAUUAGUAUUCAAUUGUCAGAGGUGAAAUUCUUGGAUUUAUUGAAGACUAACUACUGCGAAAGCAUUUGCCAAGGAUGUUUUCAUUAAUCAAGAACGAAAGUUAGGGGAUCGAAGACGAUCAGAUACCGUCGUAGUCUUAACCAUAAACUAUGCCGACUAGGGAUCGGAUGAUGCUUAUUUUUNAAUGACUCAUUCGGCGCCUUACGGGAAAC
rnacentral:rRNA from 1 species